UGGGGAAUUUUGGACAAUGGGCGAAAGCCUGAUCCAGCCAUGCCGCGUGAGUGAAGAAGGCCUUCGGGUUGUAAAGCUCUUUUAGUCGGAAAGAAAGAGUCGCAAUGAAUAAUUGUGAUUUAUGACGGUACUGACAGAAAAAGCACUGGCUAACUACGUGCCAGCAGCCGUGGUAAUAUGUAGGGUGUGAGUGUUAAUCGGAAUUACUGGGCGUAAAGGGUGCGCAGGCGGUUUUGCAAGUCAGAUGUGAAAGCCCCGGGCUUAACCUGGGAAUUGCGUUUGAAACUACAAGGCUAGAGUGCAGUAGAGGGGAGUGGAAUUCCGAUGUGUAGCAGUGAAAUGCGUAGAGAUGUGGAAGACAUCGAUGGCGAAGGCAGCUCCCUGGGUUGACACUGACGUUCA
rnacentral:rRNA from 1 species